rnacentral:misc_RNA from 1 species
AAGUCGUAACAAGGUUUCCGUAGGUGAACCUGCGGAAGGAUCAUUGACAAAUCUAAAAUAGUUGCGUAGCGGCUAGUGAAGUGCAAGCUUUGCUAGACGACACGUCAACAAAUUCUAACCUGUGAAUCGCAGCACAUGCAAAUGUGUUGUUUGCUGUUGUGUGAAUGUGUGCGCUGAAAAGCAGCACUUUUGCAUCAACAUGCAUAAAUUAACGUAAAUCAUGUCUUAGAAAUUCAAACUAAAUACAACUUUUAGCAAUGGAUCUCUUGGCUUCU